rnacentral:rRNA from 1 species
AUUGAACGCUGGCGUCAGGCCUAACACAUGCAAGUCGAGUGAGCGGCGGACGGGUUAGUAAUGUAUGGGGACUGCCCUAUAGAGUGGGAUAACUCCUGGAAACGGUAGCUAAUACCGCAUACUAUCGGAUAACCCAUAUGGGAUGAGCUAGUAGGUGAGGUAAUGGCUCACCUAGGCGACGAUCCCUAGCUGGUCUGAGAGGAUGAUCAGCCACACGGGGACUGAGACCCGGGCCGUACUCCUACGGAGGGAGCAGUGGGGAAUAAUGCACAAUGGGCGCAAGCCUGAUGCAGCCAUGCCGAGUGUAUGAAGAAGGCCAUAGGGUUGUAAAGAACUGUCAGUCGGGAGGCGUUACCGAAAGAAGAAGCACCGGCUAACUCCGUGCCAGCCGCCGCGGUAAUAC